rnacentral:rRNA from 1 species
UGGGGGAAUAUUGCGCAAUGGGGGGAACCCUGACGCAGCCAUGCCGCGUGAAUGAAGAAGGCCUUAGGGUUGUAAAGUUCUUUCGGUAUUGAGGAAGGUUGAUGUGUUAAUAGCACAUCAAAUUGACGUUAAAUACAGAAGAAGCACCGGCUAACUCCGUGCCAGCAGCCGCGGUAAUACGGAGGGUGCGAGCGUUAAUCGGAAUAACUGGGCGUAAAGGGCACGCAGGCGGUUAUUUAAGUGAGGUGUGAAAGCCCUGGGCUUAACCUAGGAAUUGCAUUUCAGACUGGGUAACUAGAGUACUUUAGGGAGGGGUAGAAUUCCACGUGUAGCGGUGAAAUGCGUAGAGAUGUGGAGGAAUACCGAAGGCGAAGGCAGCCCCUUGGGAAUGUACUGACGCUCAUGUGCGAAAGCGUGGGGAGCAAACAGGAUUAGAUACCCUGGUAGUCCACGCUGUAAACGCUGUCGAUUUGGGGGUUGGGGUUUAACUCUGGCGCCCGUAGCUAACGUGAUAAAUCGACCGCCUGGGGAGUACGGCCGCAAGGUUA